UGCGUAGGGUCCGAGCGUUGUCCGGAAUUACUGGGCGUAAAGAGCUCGUAGGUGGUUUGUCGCGUUGUUCGUGAAAACUCACAGCUCAACUGUGGGCGUGCGGGCGAUACGGGCAGACUGGAGUACUGCAGGGGAGACUGGAAUUCCUGGUGUAGCGGUGGAAUGCGCAGAUAUCAGGAGGAACACCGGUGGCGAAGGCGGGUCUCUGGGCAGUAACUGACGCUGAGGAGCGAAAGCGUGGGGAGCAAACAGG
rnacentral:rRNA from 1 species